rnacentral:rRNA from 1 species
GAUGAACGCUAGCUACAGGCUUAACACAUGCAAGUCGGAGGGGCAGCAUGGUCUUAGGCUUGCUAAGGCCGAUGGCGACCGGCGCACGGAUGAGUAACACGUAUCCAACCUGCCGUCUACUCUUGGACAGCCUUCUGAAAGGAAGAUUAAUACAAGAUGGCAUCAUGAGUCCGCAUGGUUCACAGUCGAUUAAAGGUAUUCCGGUAGACGAUGGGGAUGCGUUCCAUUAGAUAGUAGGCGGGGUAACGCCCACCUAGUCUUCGAUGGAUAGGGGUUCUGAGAGGAAGGUCCCCCCA